GACGAGUCUCUGUAGGUCUACGCAUGCUGCAGCCAAUCAAAUCGUUGAACAUUUCUCAACUUUUUGACGCAGGCCACGGAGCCAAAUGGACGGACAGACACACAACGCAUUUCGCGAUCGCCCCAUGCAAAGUCAAUGAGAUCCGUUGACGGACGGAGGCCAGUCCAGGCUGGGCGUGUGGAGCCGUCUGGAGGGGCUCGGCUGAUGUUUGGGUCCAGGAGGACUCAGCAGCAGCACCAUCUGAAGAAGCCACAGAGAACACGUUACCAGGUGGGAGGGGAAAAUCACGGAUGAGAACCCUUAAAAUGGCAGCCUCUCCCAG
ensembl:lncRNA